rnacentral:rRNA from 1 species
GGUUAAGCGACUAAGCGUACACGGUGGAUGCCCUGGCAGUCAGAGGCGAUGAAGGACGUGCUAAUCUGCGAUAAGCGUCGGUAAGGUGAUAUGAACCGUUAUAACCGGCGAUUUCCGAAUGGGGAAACCCAGUGUGUUUCGACACACUAUCAUUAACUGAAUCCAUAGGUUAAUGAGGCGAACCGGGGGAACUGAAACAUCUAAGUACCCCGAGGAAAAGAAAUCAACCGAGAUUCCCCCAGUAGCGGCGAGCGAACGGGGAGCAGCCCAGAGCCUGAAUCAGUGUGUGUGUUAGUGGAAGCGUCUGGAAAGGCGCGCGAUACAGGGUGACAGCCCCGUACACAAAAAUGCACAUGCUGUGAGCUCGAUGAGUAGGGCGGGACACGUGGUAUCCUGUCUGAAUAUGGGGGGACCAUCCUCCAAGGCUAAAUACUCCUGACUGACCGAUAGUGAACCAGUACCGUGAGGGAAAGGCGAAAAGAACCCCGGCGAGGGGAGUGAAAAAGAACCUGAAACCGUGUACGUACAAGCAGUGGGAGCACGCUUAGGCGUGUGACUGCGUACCUUUUGUAUAAUGGGUCAGCGACUUAUAUUCUGUAGCAAGGUUAACCGAAUAGGGGAGCCGAAGGGAAACCGAGUCUUAACUGGGCGUUAAGUUGCAGGGUAUAGACCCGAAACCCGGUGAUCUAGCCAUGGGCAGGUUGAAGGUUGGGUAACACUAACUGGAGGACCGAACCGACUAAUGUUGAAAAAUUAGCGGAUGACUUGUGGCUGGGGGUGAAAGGCCAAUCAAACCGGGAGAUAGCUGGUUCUCCCCGAAAGCUAUUUAGGUAGCGCCUCGUGAAUUCAUCUCCGGGGGUAGAGCACUGUUUCGGCAAGGGGGUCAUCCCGACUUACCAACCCGAUGCAAACUGCGAAUACCGGAGAAUGUUAUCACGGGAGACACACGGCGGGUGCUAACGUCCGUCGUGAAGAGGGAAACAACCCAGACCGCCAGCUAAGGUCCCAAAGUCAUGGUUAAGUGGGAAACGAUGUGGGAAGGCCCAGACAGCCAGGAUGUUGGCUUAGAAGCAGCCAUCAUUUAAAGAAAGCGUAAUAGCUCACUGGUCGAGUCGGCCUGCGCGGAAGAUGUAACGGGGCUAAACCAUGCACCGAAGCUGCGGCAGCGACGCUUAUGCGUUGUUGGGUAGGGGAGCGUUCUGUAAGCCUGUGAAGGUGUGCUGUGAGGCAUGCUGGAGGUAUCAGAAGUGCGAAUGCUGACAUAAGUAACGAUAAAGCGGGUGAAAAGCCCGCUCGCCGGAAGACCAAGGGUUCCUGUCCAACGUUAAUCGGGGCAGGGUGAGUCGACCCCUAAGGCGAGGCCGAAAGGCGUAGUCGAUGGGAAACAGGUUAAUAUUCCUGUACUUGGUGUUACUGCGAAGGGGGGACGGAGAAGGCUAUGUUGGCCGGGCGACGGUUGUCCCGGUUUAAGCGUGUAGGCUGGUUUUCCAGGCAAAUCCGGAAAAUCAAGGCUGAGGCGUGAUGACGAGGCACUACGGUGCUGAAGCAACAAAUGCCCUGCUUCCAGGAAAAGCCUCUAAGCAUCAGGUAACAUCAAAUCGUACCCCAAACCGACACAGGUGGUCAGGUAGAGAAUACCAAGGCGCUUGAGAGAACUCGGGUGAAGGAACUAGGCAAAAUGGUGCCGUAACUUCGGGAGAAGGCACGCUGAUAUGUAGGUGAAGUCCCUCGCGGAUGGAGCUGAAAUCAGUCGAAGAUACCAGCUGGCUGCAACUGUUUAUUAAAAACACAGCACUGUGCAAACACGAAAGUGGACGUAUACGGUGUGACGCCUGCCCGGUGCCGGAAGGUUAAUUGAUGGGGUUAGCCGCAAGGCGAAGCUCUUGAUCGAAGCCCCGGUAAACGGCGGCCGUAACUAUAACGGUCCUAAGGUAGCGAAAUUCCUUGUCGGGUAAGUUCCGACCUGCACGAAUGGCGUAAUGAUGGCCAGGCUGUCUCCACCCGAGACUCAGUGAAAUUGAACUCGCUGUGAAGAUGCAGUGUACCCGCGGCAAGACGGAAAGACCCCGUGAACCUUUACUAUAGCUUGACACUGAACAUUGAGCCUUGAUGUGUAGGAUAGGUGGGAGGCUUAGAAGUGUGGACGCCAGUCUGCAUGGAGCCGACCUUGAAAUACCACCCUUUAAUGUUUGAUGUUCUAACGUUGACCCGUAAUCCGGGUUGCGGACAGUGUCUGGUGGGUAGUUUGACUGGGGCGGUCUCCUCCUAAAGAGUAACGGAGGAGCACGAAGGUUGGCUAAUCCUGGUCGGACAUCAGGAGGUUAGUGCAAUGGCAUAAGCCAGCUUGACUGCGAGCGUGACGGCGCGAGCAGGUGCGAAAGCAGGUCAUAGUGAUCCGGUGGUUCUGAAUGGAAGGGCCAUCGCUCAACGGAUAAAAGGUACUCCGGGGAUAACAGGCUGAUACCGCCCAAGAGUUCAUAUCGACGGCGGUGUUUGGCACCUCGAUGUCGGCUCAUCACAUCCUGGGGCUGAAGUAGGUCCCAAGGGUAUGGCUGUUCGCCAUUUAAAGUGGUACGCGAGCUGGGUUUAGAACGUCGUGAGACAGUUCGGUCCCUAUCUGCCGUGGGCGCUGGAGAACUGAGGGGGGCUGCUCCUAGUACGAGAGGACCGGAGUGGACGCAUCACUGGUGUUCGGGUUGUCAUGCCAAUGGCACUGCCCGGUAGCUAAAUGCGGAAGAGAUAAGUGCUGAAAGCAUCUAAGCACGAAACUUGCCCCGAGAUGAGUUCUCCCUGAC